AUGAUGAUCUCUAGAGGUUUAUUCGGAUGGUCUCCGCCUCAUAUGCAGCCGUUAACCCCAGUCUCUGAGGUCUCCGAGCCUCCCGAGUCACCGUCUCCCUAUCCCGACCCAAACGACACCGGCGGCACGGCCACGGCGGCGCAAGCGGAGGUUGAUGAGGAGAUGGAGGAGCCCGAUGAGGUCGAGCCACCUCCCGCAGCUGUUCCUUUCUCUCAGCUCUUCGCUUGCGCUGACCGGUUCGAUUGGGUGCUUAUGAUCGUCGGCUCCGUAGCUGCUGCUGCACACGGUACUGCGCUUAUUGUCUACUUACACUACUUCGCGAAGAUCGUAGAGGUCCUUGCUUUCCCCAAUGGCUCCGCUCAGCAGAGAUCUGAGGAUCAAUUUGACCGACUCGUCGAGCUUUCGCUGACCAUCGUGUACAUUGCCGGGGGUGUUUUCAUAUCUGGUUGGAUUGAGGUGUCUUGCUGGAUACUGACUGGAGAGAGGCAGACUGCUGUGAUCAGGUCCAAGUAUGUCCAAGUACUAUUGAAUCAGGAUAUGAGUUUCUUUGAUACUUAUGGUAAUAAUGGAGAUAUUGUGAGCCAAGUGCUGAGCGAUGUCUUACUCAUACAGUCAGCUUUAAGCGAAAAAGUUGGAAACUAUAUUCAUAACAUGGCUACAUUUGUCAGUGGACUUGUUAUUGGAUUUGUCAACUGCUGGGAAAUUGCACUGAUUACUCUAGCCACUGGCCCUUUCAUCGUUGCUGCGGGAGGCAUAUCAAAUAUAUUUCUCCACAGACUUGCUGAGAACAUACAAGAUGCAUAUGCUGAAGCAGCCGGCAUUGCUGAACAGGGGAUCUCGUACAUUAGGACUUUAUAUGCCUUUACAAAUGAAACUCUUGCAAAAUAUUCAUAUGCAACCUCCCUUCAAGCAACCCUGAGAUACGGUAUAUUGAUUAGUCUUGUGCAAGGCCUUGGACUUGGGUUUACUUACGGGCUUGCUAUAUGCUCGUGUGCGCUGCAACUUUGGAUUGGACGAUUCUUUGUUACCAAUGGAAGAGCCAAUGGCGGAGAAAUAAUAGCAGCUCUAUUUGCUGUUAUUUUAAGUGGCCUGGGUUUAAAUCAAGCUGCUACAAACUUUUAUUCAUUUGAUCAAGGAAGGAUUGCUGCGUACAGGCUUUUUGAGAUGAUAACUCGUUCAUCCUCGGUGGCUAAUCAAGAGGGAGCUGUGCUGGCUUCUGUUCAAGGAAAUAUUGAAUUCCGGAAUGUUUAUUUCAGCUACUUGUCACGACCUGAAAUUCCAAUCUUGAGUGGAUUUUACCUCACGGUUCCUGCUAAAAAAGCAGUUGCACUUGUUGGUAGAAAUGGUUCUGGAAAAAGCAGCAUCAUUCCUCUAAUGGAACGGUUUUAUGAUCCGACAUUAGGAGAAGUUCUUCUUGAUGGAGAAAAUAUUAAAAAUAUAAAACUGGAGUGGCUGAGAAGCCAAAUUGGCCUGGUUACACAGGAGCCUGCUCUGCUAAGCUUGACCAUAAGAGAUAAUAUUGCCUAUGGUCGUGAUGCUACUCUUGAUCAGAUAGAGGAGGCAGCUAAAAUUGCGCAUGCACACACAUUUAUCAGCUCACUUGAAAAAGGAUAUGAAACUCAGGUCGGACGAGCCGGUUUGGCGAUGACAGAGGAGCAGAAAAUAAAACUUUCGAUCGCUAGAGCUGUGCUUUUGAAUCCAACAAUUCUUCUGCUUGAUGAAGUAACUGGAGGACUAGACUUCGAAGCUGAAAGAAUUGUUCAGGAAGCUCUUGAUCUUCUGAUGUUGGGACGGUCAACCAUAAUAAUAGCCCGACGGCUAAGCUUGAUAAAGAAUGCUGACUAUAUUGCCGUGAUGGAGGAGGGUCAGCUCGUUGAAAUGGGUACACACGAUGAAUUGAUAACUCUUGGUGGGCUGUAUGCUGAGCUUCUGAAAUGUGAAGAAGCAACAAAGCUUCCGAGAAGGAUGCCAGUUAGAAACUACAAGGAGUCUGCAGUGUUUCAGGUUGAGAGGGACUCUUCAGCUGCCUGUGGCGUCCAAGAACCAUCAUCACCGAAAAUGAUGAAGUCUCCAUCUCUUCAAAGAGGUAAUGGCAUGUUCCGUCGCCAGGAACUGUGUUUUAAUACUGAAGAAUCAUCUUAUGAUCAUAGCCCUGCGACUGCACCUGAGAAAAUGGGGGAAAAUGACUUGCCUCUGGAAGAUUCUGAUAAAGAGCCAACUAUGACAAGGCAAGAUAGUUUCGAGAUGAGGUUACCAGAACUUCCUAAAAUCGAUGUUCAGUAUACUCGUCAGAAAUCAAACGGCUCAGAUCCAGAGUCCCCUGUUUCACCCCUUUUGACAUCAGAUCCUAAAAACGAGCGUUCCCAUUCUCAGACGUUUAGCCGUCCCCUUAGUUCUUCAAACGAUACUACAGCAAAUGGUAAGGCGGGCAAGGAUGCUCAACACAAGGAGUCACCUUCAUUUUGGAGGUUGGCACAGCUUAGUUUCCCAGAGUGGCUUUAUGCUGUAUUAGGGAGUAUUGGUGCUGCCAUCUUUGGUUCUUUCAAUCCUCUUCUGGCUUAUGUCAUCGCGUUGGUAGUAACGGCAUAUUAUAGGAGCAAAGGAGGCCACCUGCGCGAGGAUGUUGACAAAUGGUGUUUGAUCAUUGCUUGCAUGGGGAUAGUGACAGUUGUUGCCAAUUUCUUGCAGCACUUCUACUUUGGUAUAAUGGGGGAGAAAAUGACGGAGAGAGUUCGGAGGAUGAUGUUCUCAGCGAUGCUGCGUAACGAAGUUGGAUGGUUUGAUGAUGAAGAGAACAGUCCAGAUACGUUAUCGAUGCGCUUAGCCAACGAUGCUACUUUUGUCCGAGCUGCCUUCAGCAACAGGCUUUCGAUAUUUAUUCAAGAUAGUUUUGCUGUUAUUGUUGCUCUUCUUAUUGGGUUGUUGCUUGGUUGGCGUUUGGCCCUUGUUGCAUUGGCAACUCUGCCAAUACUCACUCUUUCUGCCAUUGCUCAGAAACUGUGGCUUGCUGGAUUCUCAAAAGGCAUACAGGAGAUGCAUAGAAAGGCAUCUUUAGUCCUUGAGGAUGCUGUUAGAAACAUCUACACUGUUGUUGCUUUCUGUGCUGGUAACAAGGUGAUGGAACUCUAUAGGAUGCAACUCCAGCGGAUACUCAGACAGAGCUUUUUCCAUGGGAUGGCUAUUGGUUUUGCGUUUGGCUUUUCACAGUUUCUUCUAUUCGCCUGUAAUGCUCUCCUCCUAUGGUGCACUGCCUUAUCUGUUAAUCGCGGGUAUAUGACGUUAUCCACAGCAAUAACGGAGUACAUGGUUUUCUCUUUUGCUACAUUUGCCCUCGUCGAGCCAUUUGGGUUAGCACCAUAUAUUCUCAAGCGCCGUAAGUCUCUCAUAUCAGUGUUUGAAAUCAUAGAUCGAGUCCCUACGAUUGAACCAGAUGAUAACUCUGCUCUUAAGCCGCCUAAUGUCUACGGAAGCAUAGAGUUGAAAAACAUCGACUUUUGCUACCCAACUCGACCCGAGGUGUUAGUGCUGAGCAACUUCAGUCUCAAAGUCAGUGGGGGCCAGACCGUAGCUGUAGUUGGCGUUUCGGGUUCUGGAAAGAGCACAAUAAUCUCACUGAUUGAGAGAUACUAUGACCCAGUUGCUGGUCAAAUACUACUAGAUGGGAGAGACUUGAAGUUAUAUAAUUUGAGAUGGUUGAGAAGCCACAUGGGUUUGGUUCAGCAGGAACCCAUAAUCUUUUCAACGACGAUCAGAGAGAAUAUUAUAUAUGCGAGGCAUAAUGCGAGUGAAGCUGAGAUGAAAGAAGCAGCAAGAAUAGCAAAUGCUCACCAUUUCAUCAGCAGCUUACCUCAUGGUUACGACACACAUAUCGGGAUGAGAGGCGUUGAACUGACCCCGGGACAGAAACAGAGAAUAGCGAUAGCAAGGGUAGUGCUGAAGAAUGCUCCCAUACUCUUAAUAGAUGAAGCAAGCUCGUCUAUCGAAUCUGAAUCUAGUCGGGUUGUGCAGGAGGCUCUUGACACAUUGAUAAUGGGGAACAAAACAACAAUUCUAAUAGCACAUAGAGCGGCUAUGAUGAGACAUGUUGAUAGCAUUGUGGUUCUCAAUGGAGGGAGAAUAGUAGAGGAAGGUACACAUGAUUCUUUAGCAGCAAAGAAUGGAUUGUAUGUCCGUUUGAUGCAACCACAUUUCGGUAAAGGUCUACGCCAACAUCGGCUGAUAUAGAGUUUUGGAUGGAAAUGAUUAUGGCAUCUCUCUGAUCAAAUGAUUUCUCGGGAGAGACACGAAAUGCUCAGAAGAAAAAAAAAGUAUUAAACCACGUACACAAGAUUGGAGGUUCAAAGCGAAGAAAAAAUAGGCACACCAGGCAACGUAGCUCCGGAAUCAACAAUGUACGUAUUCCCGGAGACGUAUUGAGAAGAGUCAUGAAUGAGAUAACGAACGAGAGAGCUAAGUCCCGGAUCCACGGUCUGUUCCACCGUCAACGGGACAGUCCGGUCAGUCACCUUCUUGAGCCACUCUUUCUCCAGAAGACCUUGCGUGAUCUCUGACCUAAAAAGCCCCGGUGCGAUCGAGUUGACUCUGAUCUUGUAAACACCUAGCUCAAUAGCCAUCAUCCUCGUCAUGGUGU